UCUCAGCACCUCCCAUUUUCUAGUGGCAGCUCCAUUUGCCCUAGGGACCUUCGGAAUAUUCCCUGACUUCUCCUGCUUCCUCUCCUGAUCCAGAAUGCGGCUCUGGCACUGAGGAGUAGUGAGCUCAGUGCUCUUCACCACAGGUACCAGCAGCAGAACAUCAGGGGACCCGUGGAGACCAGAGAAGGAGAGGAGGAGCAUGGAGGAUGUCAUGUGGGACUUGGAAGGACUUAUUGAUGAGCACAGGAGGUUGUAUUUCAUUAAUUACGAACAUAGUGGUUACCCUUCGAGAGCCUAUUUGGGAAGGAGUAUCCUGGAAAAGACUGGAAUUGCUGGUAGGACAGUGGAUGGAGGCUCAAUGUAUCCAGAUGAGCACACACACUUAAUGUUAGAGGCCACUGGCUCAGACAAUGGGGAAGCUUUGAAGGAUCUUGAUCCUAGAAGAGACAAGGUCAAGGUGGCAUAGGAGGAAAUCUAGGUCCUUUAGUAAAGAACAACAUCUCAUGAAAUCCUUCCAGCUCACACACUUCUAACCUUUGAGUCAACCUUGAUGGUUGGUCAAAGGCUAUCAAAAUGGCUCCAAAUGCACAGAUUAAGCAGCUCUUCACUGAAUAGUUGGAGUAUCCAAGAAAAGGACAAAAAUGGAAGCAAAGAUCGUCUUUUUUGCUUUGUUUCUUUCUUUUGAAAUGGGGACAAGCUGGAAACAAUCUAAAUACCCAAAACAAGGAACUGGCUAAGUCAAUUACGGUGCAGCAACUUGAGGGAAUGCUAUACAGCAAUUAAAAUAAGUGAGAAAAUGACCUAUGAAAAUAUCUUUAUAAUGUUAACACUUAAAUCCAGAAUACAGAACUAUAUGUUCACUGAAUGAAAUACAUGAG
ensembl:lncRNA